rnacentral:rRNA from 1 species
CUACGGGCUGCACCAGUGGGGAAUAUUGCACAAUGGGGGAAACCCUGAUGCAACAACGCCGCGUGGAGGAUGACACAUUUCGGUGCGUAAACUCCUUUUAUAGGUCAAGAUAAUGACGGUAGCCUAUGAAUAAGCGCCGGCUAACUCCGUGCCAGCAGCCGCGGUAAUACGGAGGGCGCAAGCGUUACUCGGAAUCACUGGGCGUAAAGAGCAUGUAGGCGGGUUAAUAAGUCAGAAGUGAAAUCCAAUAGCUCAACUAUUGAACUGCUUUUGAAACUGUUAACCUAGAGUGUGGGAGAGGUAGAUGGAAUUUCUGGUGUCGGGGUAAAAUCCGUAGAGAUCAGAAGGAAUACCGAUUGCGAAGGCGAUCUACUGGAACAUUACUGACGCUGAGAUGCGAAAGCGUGGGGAGCAAACAGGAUUAGAUACCCGCGUAGUC